rnacentral:rRNA from 1 species
AUUGAACGCUUGCGUCAGGCCUAACACAUGCAAGUCGAGCGGAUGAAGGGAGCUUGCUCCUGGAUUCAGCGGCGGACGGGUGAGUAAUGCCUAGGAAUCUGCCUGGUAGUGGGGGAUAACGUCCGGAAACGGGCGCUAAUACCGCAUACGUCCUGAGGGAGAAAGUGGGGGAUCUUCGGACCUCACGCUAUCAGAUGAGCCUAGGUCGGAUUAGCUAGUUGGUGGGGUAAAGGCCUACCAAGGCGACGAUCCGUAACUGGUCUGAGAGGAUGAUCAGUCACACUGGAACUGAGACACGGUCCAGACUCCUACGGGAGGCAGCAGUGGGGAAUAUUGGACAAUGGGCGAAAGCCUGAUCCAGCCAUGCCGCGUGUGUGAAGAAGGUCUUCGGAUUGUAAAGCACUUUAAGUUGGGAGGAAGGGCAGUAAGUUAAUACCUUGCUGUUUUGACGUUACCAACAGAAUAAGCACCGGCUAACUUCGUG